CGCGUGGGAACGUACCCCAAAGUGAGGGAUAACGCACCGAAAGGUGUGCUAAUACCGCAUGUGAUCUUCGGAUUAAAGUAUUUAUACGCUAUGGGAACGGCCUGCGUCGGAUUAGGUUGUUGGUGAGGUAAUGGCUCACCAAGCCGACGAUCCGUAGCUGGUCUGAGAGGAUGAUCAGCCAGACUGGAACUGAGACACGGUCCAGACUCCUACGGGAGGCAGCAGUGGGGAAUUUUGGACAAUGGGCGCAAGCCUGAUGCAGCCAUGCCGCGUGUAUGAAGAAGGCCUUCGGGUUGUAAAGUACUUUCAGCGGGGAGGAAGGCGAUAAGGUUAAUAACCUUGUCGAUUGACGUUACCCGCAGAAGAAGCACCGGCUAACUCCGUG
rnacentral:rRNA from 1 species